GUGAUGGGGUUUAUUUGGUUGUGUACACAUACAUUAUACCGGAUACCUGCCUGCCAUAUUUAAUUAGGUCACGUGAUGCGAGCGCGGAAAGGUGAAAAAA